rnacentral:rRNA from 1 species
CCUACGGGCGGCAGCAGUGAGGAAUAUUGGUCAAUGGGAGAGAUCCUGAACCAGCCAAGCCGCGUGAGGGAAGACGGCCCUAUGGGUUGUAAACCUCUUUUGUCGGAGAACAAAACCCGGGACGUGUCCCGGACUGCGUGUAUCCGAAGAAAAAGCAUCGGCCAACUCCGUGCCAGCAGCCGCGGUAAUACGGAGGAUGCGAGGGUUAUCCGGAUUUAUUGGGUUUAAAGGGUGCGUAGGCGGUCCGUUAAGUCAGCGGGAAAAUUUCGGGGCUCAACCCCGUCGAGCCGUUGAAACUGGCAGACUUGAGUUGGCGAGAAGUACGCGGAAUGCGCGGUGUAGCGGUGAAAUGCAUAGAUAUCGCGCAGAACUCCGAUUGCGAAGGCAGCGUACCGGCGCCAGACUGACGCUGAGGCACGAAAGCGUGGGGAUCGAACAGGAUUAGAUACCCGAGUAGUC